rnacentral:rRNA from 1 species
CCAAUAGCGUAUAUUAAAGUUGUUGCAGUUAAAAAGCUCGUAGUUGAAUUUCGGGAUCAAUAUAUCGGUCGUGCCUUCGGUAUGCACUGGUAUCAUUGAUUUCUACCUUCUGACGAACCAUGAUGUCAUUAAUUUGGUGUCAUGGGAAAUCAGGACUGUUACUUUGAAAAAAUUAGAGUGUUUAAAGCAGGCACACGCUUGAAUACAUUAGCAUGGAAUAAUGAAAUAGGACGUUUGACCCUAUUUUGUUGGUUUCUAGGAUCGACGUAAUGAUUAAUAGGGAUAGUUGGGGGCAUUAGUAUUCAAUUGUCAGAGGUGAAAUUCUUGGAUUUAUUGAAGACUAACUACUGCGAAAGCAUUUGCCAAGGAUGUUUUCAUUAAUCAAGAACGAAAGUUAGGGGAUCGAAGACGAUCAGAUACCGUCGUAGUCUUAACCAUAAACUAUGCCGACUAGGGAUCGGAUGAUGUUAAUUUUUUAAUGACUCAUUCGGCGCCUUACG